rnacentral:rRNA from 1 species
ACGAACGCUGGCGGCGUGCUUACACAUGCAAGUCGAACGGAAAGGCCCUGCUUUUGUGGGGUGCUCGAGUGGGGAACGGGUGAGUAACACGUGAGUAACCUGCCCUUUACUUUUGGGUAACUUCAGGAAACUGGGGCUAAUACCGGAUAGGAGCUCCUGCUGCAUGGUGGGGGUUGGAAAGUUUCGGCGGUUGGGGGUGGACUCGCGGCUUAUCAGCUUGUUGGUGGGGUAGUGGCUUACCAAGGCUUUGACGGGUAGCCGGCCUGAGAGGGUGACCGGCCACAUUGGGACUGAGAUACGGCCCAGACUCCUACGGGAGGCAGCAGUGGGGAAUAUUGCACAAUGGGCGGAAGCCUGAUGCAGCAACGCCGCGUGCGGGAUGACGGCCUUCGGGUUGUAAACCGCUUUCGCCUGUGACGAAGCGUGAGUGACGGUAAUGGGUAAAGAAGCACCGGCUAACUACGUG